CAGUAUUUGUUCACCAGAGCGGACGUGCUUCCUGAGCCGUACAUAGAGGUCCUGAAGCAGUUGUAGGACUCGCUUCCUCCACGCCCUCUUGAAGAGGUUCGUGGAACCAUAGAAAAAGAACUUGGUAAACCCAUGAGUGAACUCUUUGCUACUUUUGACCUUGACCCUCUUGCAACCGCAUCAAUAGCACAGGUUCAUCGUGCAACUCUGGAAGAUGGU